CUCAGGAAGUCUGACGUUGACACAAACAGUUACAGCCAUCAGAACCACGACUGCUUUAAUAGACACUGAAACGAGCCUACUAGCCAAAUACUGGGAGAAUAAUCGGGACCGGGGGAGAGUGAGAAAGUUGAGUGCUGGAAUGGCAGAUUAUGGCUGGAAGUCCUGAAGCCAGGUGGUAGCCGUGACACCACCACUUCUCCCAGCUUCGGUUUAUUCAACCGUAAAACUAGGUGACUGGACAAAAUGAAAAGAACCCUUUCUUUUUAAAAAAGAUUUAUUGAGAGAGAGAGAAAGAGAGAGUGCGCGCACAACAGCGCGAGGGACGGGGAGGGAGGGAGGGAGAGGGAGAGAAGCAGACUCUCUGAGAAGCAGGGAACCCGACAUGGGGCUUGACCCCAGGACCCUGGGAUCAUGACCCGAGACAAAGGCAGACGCUUAACUAACUGAACCACCCAGGUGCCCCAAAAGAACCCUUUCUGAUCAAGCGGUAGGGGAGAAAGAAAUCAGACGGACCCACAAGUAAAAUGGACGCUGUCCUGGAACCCAAACCCAGGGAUCAAGUCUGCUCUGGCAAUACAGUGAAGCGUCGAAGUCUAGUCCCUGUGUUCCCUUCUCUCCCACACAGGGCACGAGGGGCCACUCUGAGCUGCUUGGAAUUACACCACUGAAAUAACUGGAGGAGCGAACUCAGCUGGCUGACCGAGGAAACAGUGUCCCAGGCUUGGAAGAAAGCGAAACGAACCCCGGAGAACCGCGGCACCGACUACCCACCGCCCCUCUCCCGGCCAGGCCGGAGAUGCUGAAUCACUGCCGGAAUCCUCCCGUUGGCGGGGGUUCCCAUAGCCCCUAGCCCCGGGCCGCUCUGAGAAUGACAGGACGGGGGGCUCGCCAUUCCCCCCGCCCGCGGACCUCAGCCCCAAAACUGCCCGCGCUCGGAAUCCAACGCACCAUGGUUCCGGCGCGGAUCUGGCUGCGGCCUCCUGCAGAGGUGCGGAAUCCGAAAGGUUGCCGAAACUACCGCUCGACAAUCUACAGAAAAGCCUUCGGGAUUUUGACGAAGGCGGCGCAGGGCAGGGCAGUCUAUCCCAGAGAUAUCGAUAGAACCCGGCGCUCCCCCGCCCUCAAGGCUCGCCGCCUCUCCAAAGUGGGCGGGGCUCAGGAAGAAGGAGGAGUUGAGAUUGGCGGGAAAUCUUGGGUAAGGAGUGCGGGCGGCAGCAGAGAGUUGCGGGGCGGCCGCUACAAAGUUGCCCUUCUUGGAUUCUCAGUGGUUUGCAGAUUCCCUGUGUUUUUGCAGAUUCCCGCCAAGUCCUCACCGGCCCGACCGAUACACCUGAAAUCGAUGGAGACAACACCUGCGACUCCAGUGCCUGAGAGUUCCACUUUCUGACUUCACCAGCACUGGAUAGGCAAUCAGAACUGGAGAAAUAAGAAAAGACAAUCCAUGAAAGCAGAAGCGGGCAGUCACAGGGAGAGGUAGCAUUCAGACUUCAUGAGUAAGCCAAAGCGGUGAAUAAACAAGAAUCUGAGCGAACGAAAGCCAUGAAGCAGCCCAAAGUUAUAUGAAGUAAUGAUGGAAGUGACAGAAGACAACUAAUACCGCAUCAGAUUCUCUGGAGAAGGAGUUCAUGGCCAGGUCUGGGUCACUGGCCAACCUUGGAGCCAGAGGUACAGUCACCUCCUCUGUUACCAGGGGCGGGGGAAUGGCACUAGACGGACAAAGACUACAGGUGUGCUCCAGUGUGCCAAGUCAGGCUGGGAUUGACUUUUCAGAAGCCAGAACCAAACAUGAGCCCAAAUUACGAGGGUUCGAGGAAGCCAGAGAAAGCAGAGGAAAGCUGUUUCCUGAGAGAAGCAGAAAGUGUAGAGAUGCUCAGAGAGAAGCAGGGAUGGGUGAUGAGGCAGCCGCAUGAGAUACCGCAUAACAUCUCACCUACCUGUUUCAGUCCCAUCCUGGGGGCGUGGUCCCGGCUGGGCUGAUCCCUGCACUUCAGAGCCCCUGGAGACCGUACCUUCUGUAUCAGUUCAAACUACUUCCUUUCCUACUUAAGUUGGUGGGAGUUGUUCUUGGUCUACGAGGCAUUUAACUGGAAGUUUCUUGGUGUCUGCUUAUCUCUCAGGAUCGAGCAUGGCAGACAAGGUACAAAGGUGACAAUUCAACUAGCUGGAAUCAUGUGAAGCAUUUUGCAUACCUUGUCUCCUUUAAUCUGGAGGGUCAGACAGGUAGCAUUAUGGAGGCUCACAGAGGGUUAAGUAUAGCCUACCUUUGUUAUUCAUUGAAUCUGGAUUUGCAGAUUGGCCUACUCCCUAAAAUCUAUUUGUAACCCCAAAUCAGUACCCUGAGUCCUUUCCCAGUGUUGACAGACCCGUGCAGAGUGGUGAAAAAAUUGAAUUGUUCCAGGCACAUGUUCCCAGCUGACAUUAAAAACGUGACACUCAGCCCUUCUGUUUCAGCUCCCACACUGUAAACAAGGUUCCCAUCUGCAGUCUAUUUAGUGCCACAUUUGUCACAUUUCGUGUUGGGUUUUGGCGAUUUCACUAUUUCAGAUGGCCUCCAGUCUGGGCUUCUAAGCACAAGAAAGCCAUGACUGACGUGCCUUACAGAGAAAAUGUGUGUUUGAUCUUUGUUUAGGCAGGAGUUGUAGUGCUGUUGGCUGUGAGGUCAGUGUUAAUGAAUCAGUAAUAUAUAUUAAAUUGUCUGUCUUUAAGCAGAAACAAGCAUAAAAUGAAGUUGUACAUUGACAGGUGAUGAAAAUGUCAUGACCUUGGGCCCACAGGGAUCAAACCCCAUAUUUCCCCUGGGCAUAAUAGUUCAGUGUUUGCUAAUUCAGUGUCUGUAGCGACUUUACAGAGCAUAACUACCACGAAAAACAAGGAUCCACUGUACCAUGUACAGGAUCGGUGGACCAGUUUGGACACCCAGCUCUGAAGCCAUGCCUCUCAGAUUCUGGACACCUCUUGCUCCUUCCAGUGCUCCUUCCACUGCACACUGCUGCCUCCUCUAGAAACUGUUGCCUAGUUGGGAAAUGAACAGGUAUGAAACAACUGUGGAAACCAUAGUAGGAUCUACAUUAAGGCUGGGACAAUAACAUGUAACACAUUUGUCCUCUCAUCCCUUAAAUAUAUGUGGCAGGCAUCGCUCAUCUACCACAGCCCCUCUUCCUGUUGAGCCUUGAUGGGAGCUCCAUACUCCUUCUCAAGACAGGAUCCAGGCAACCACUAUCCACUCAUCAGAGUUGGCCUAUAAGAUGAAACUGUUAACUUCCUUGCAUGAUAGCCGGUGUCCUUAAAGAUGAAGAAUACACUUAGAGGAUCUGCAUUGCCAGGCUUAAGGAACUUGAGAGUUGAAGCGAAUACGUCAGUUUCAAAGCCUAGACCCCCUGGUAGCUCUGAGUGUCUGGUUAACUCUCUUUGGAAAGGCUUUCUGGAUUUUUUUCCCAUAGGACUUUGCUCCUGAAAGAUGCAUCUUGAUGGGAACCAUCUUCUUGUUCAUCUCUGAGUCACUUUGCCUGGAGCAUUGGCUGGCAUAGAGUUGAUCCUCAGUGACGUUUGCUGAACAGAGGUCUGGGCAGCUAGACUGACACCUGUCUUCCCCAGAGGAAAGAGCUCUGGGAUAGGCUAGUGACAGAAUGGAAUCCUUAAGGGCACAAAGCUGGGCAGGCAGAGCUGGGGGUGGGGGGAUGGGGGGUAAAACGGGGAGGGUGUUGGAGUUUUUCAGGGGAAGCAGUUAAGAAAUUGUAAAUGAAACUGAGUUGGAGCUACAUUCUGUUGAAUCUCUCUGUCUCCUUUCUUCAUUUCUCCUCAUGUUCUCUCCUAUGGCUUACCCCUUUAUUUCUGGUAAGAUGGAUCUAGGAAUCCCAAGCAGGACUGGAAUGGAGGCAUAUGGGGGAAGAGAAGUCCUGGGGUAUGGCUUGAGCUGGGAGCUAGUUUUGACUCUGAACUACAGGACCCCAGCCUUCAGCUUACUAGACCUGCUGGGCACCAGUGCUGCCCAUUCUUACACAGGGCUCUGGACGCUUACCACUCCGUUAGCCUAGACUGGCCCCUGUCUUCCUCUGCCCUAUUUACUUUCCCCUUUUCUUCCCCAUCAGUCAUUGCAAAUGGGGUUUCAGAGGGAAUACAGAAGAGGAGAUCGAAGUCAGGCAGGGAAGAGAUAGAUCUACUUGACUGGGAGCCUAAGAAGGGAUUGACGGUGAGUGUACCAAUAUAGCAGGGCAGCUAGAGUGGGAAAAAAUUUUAGAUUUCUGAACCACAUUUUUGCUGUUUUAGUCCUGGAAGUGAUUUUCAGUCAGAAUCUCUGCCCUGGUGUUGGAAGAGCUACAGGAAGCUAGAGAUUCCCAGUCUGUCCCUAACUGGGGAGGAGUGGCGCUUAAGGCUAUGGGAGACGGUGCAUGGGCUUUGGAGUAAGAUUGAGCUAGGUUACCACCUGCUAGCUGUAACGUGGGGUAGGUUCAUUAAUCACUCUGGAUUUUACUCCUUGUAUCUGUAAGAUGAAGAUAACAGUAGUAUGUACCUUAUGGGAUCAUAAUGACUAAAAGAAAUGAGGUUUAGCAAAUUUUGUGCAAUGUGCUCAGGAAACUCAAAUGGUAUCUAUUAUUAUUAUCAUUAAUAAUAUGAUCACCUGGGGUGCCUGGGUGGCUCAGUGGGUUGAGCCUUUGCCUUCGGCUCGGGUCAUGAUCCCAGGGUCCUGAGAUCGAGCCCCACAUCAGGCUCUCUGCUCCGCAGGGAGCCUGCUUCCUCCUCUCUCUCUGCCUGCCUCUCUGCCUACUUGUGAG
rnacentral:lncRNA from 1 species